AGUGUAGGCGGUUUGUUAAGUCAGAUGUGAAAGCCCGGGGCUCAACCCCGGAAGUGCAUUUGAAACUGGCAGACUUGAGUAUGGGAGAGAAAAGUGGAAUUCCUGGUGUAGAGGUGAAAUUCGUAGAUGUCAGGAGGAACACCAGUGGCGAAGGCGACUUUCUGGACCAAUACUGACGCUCAGACUCGAAGGCGUGGGGAGCAAACAGGAUUAGAUACCCUGGUAGUCC
rnacentral:rRNA from 1 species